rnacentral:rRNA from 1 species
AACCUGGUUGAUCCUGCCAGUAGUCAUACGCUUGUCUCAAGGAUUAAGCCAUGCAUGUCUAAGUAUAAAGGAUUUAUAAUGAAACUGCAAAUGGCUCAUUCAAACAGUUAUAGUUUAUUUGAUAUUCAAGCUAAUAUUCUUAUUAGUUAAAUGGAUAACCGUAGUAAUUCUAGAGCUAAUACAUGCGUUACGGGGAACUUUACGGGACCCCAGCGUUUAUUAGAUUUAAACCAAUAUUCCGCAAGGUCUACUGAGAUGAUUCAUGAUAACUGAUCGAAUUGCUGGAACUCUAGCAAUAAAUCAUGUAGGUUUCUGCUUCCCAUCAGCUUGAUGGUAGUGUAUUGGACAACCAUGGCAUUCACGGGCUAUCGGGGGAUUAGGGUUCGAUUCCGGAGAGGGAGCCUGAUAAACGGCUACCACUUCUACGGAAGGCAGCAGGCGCGAAAAUUAUCCAAUCCUGAUUCAGGGAGGUAGUGAAAGAAAUAAUGAACUAGGAUUUAUCCUGGGAUCACAAUGGGCUUGAUUUGCAAACACUUAGCGAGGAACAAUUGGAGGGCAAGUCUGGUGCCAGCAGCCGCGGUAAUUCCAGCUCCAAUAGAGUAUAUAAACGUUCCUGCAGUUAUUCGAUGCUCGUAGUUGGAUUUCUGAGGUUGAGACGGGAGGGUGGCUAUGGCCAUCGCCCGACUCUUUCCUCAUCCACCUGUUUGCGAAGUCCGGGAUUGAUUUCUCGGCUUCGGGCGCAGUAUCUUACCAUUUCAAUAUUCGUAGUCUUCAUCGAUUAUGUUGUUUCUUUGAGCAAAUUAUAGUGUUUCAGGCAGGCGUGCGCCGGAAUACAUUAGCAUGGUAUAAACGAAUUGGACCGUGUGCCCGUAACUGGGCUUCUCCUUAUUGUUGGUUUGAAGGACACGGAGAUGGUUAAUAGGGACAGCGUUUAUUUCACAAGGAGGCAUUAGUAUUUAAUUUCCAGAGGUGAAAUUCUUUGAAAUAUUAAAGACUAACUUAUGCGAAAGCAUCGUUUGCCAAUGAUGUUUUCAUUAAUCAUUGAACGAAAGUUAGGGGAUCAAAGACGAUCAGAUACCGUCCUAGUCUUAACCAUAAACGUUGCCGACUAGGGAUCGGAGGGCGUGCACAAUCCGCCUUCGGCACCUUACGAGAAAUCAAAGUCUUUUGGGUUCUGUGGGUAGUAUGGUCGCAAGGCUGAAACUUAAAGGAAUUGACGGAAGGGCACCACCAGGAGUGGAGCUUGCGGCUCAAUUUGACUCAACACGGGAAAUCUUACCAGGUCCAGACAUAGCGAGGAUUGACAGAUUGAUAGCUCUUUCUUGAUUCUAUGGGUAUUUUGGUGGUGCAUGGCCGUUCUUAGUUCGUGGAGUGAUUCGUCUGGUUAAUUCCGUUAAACGAACGAGACCUCAGCCUGCUAAAUAGUUGCUCGCCUUUUCUAUAAGACUUGACAACUUCUUAGAGGGACUUUGUGUGCAACCACAAGGAAGUUUGAGGCAAUAACAGGUCUGUGAUGCCCUUAGAUGUCCUGGGCCGCACGCGUGCUACACUGAUACGUACAACGAGGUAUAUGUACUUGUACAUCAAUGCUGCUCCGAAAUAGACGAGCUUAAUCUUAUAAAUACGUAUCGUGCUGCGGAUAGAUCGUUGAAAUUAUGAAUCUUGAAGGUGGAAUUCCUAGUAAGCGCACGUCACUAACGUGCGUUGAUUACGUCCCUGCCCUUUGUACACACCGCCCGUCGCUCCUACCAAUUUCGAGUGAUCUGGUGAACCUCUUUGGACUGUCGAGCAAUCGCGAAAUUAGAGUGAACCUGACUACUUAGAGGAAGGAGAAGUCGUAACAAGGUUUCCGUAGGUGAACCUGCAGAAGGAUCAUGAUGAUGAUG